UUUCGGGAGGCAGCUCUCGCAGCCGUUCUUUGAAACAGUUGAGGAAAGUCCGGACAUUACAGGGCAGGAUUCCUCGUGAAAGCGGGGGCAGGCGGCGUUUAAGCGCUGUUUGACGGAUAGCGCCACAGAGAAUAUACCGCCUCUUUCGGGAGGUAAGGGUGAAAAGGUGGGGUAAGAGCCCACCGCGUCGAGGGUAACCAAGACGGCACGGCAAGCCCAAUCCAAUGCAAGACUAUGUAGGGGACCGGGCGGCCCGUCCAUUAAAGUCCCGGGUAAGUCGCAUUUCGCUUCGGCGGGGCGAACUUCGGUUCGCAGAUGAAUGAGAGCACGUAGCUGGGUUUACCCGGCUGCGAACAGAAUCCGGCUUACGCUUUCCGAAAACCU
rnacentral:RNase_P_RNA from 1 species